CUCUUGCAAUUUUAAUUUUUGAACAUAUUAGUCAGUGGCGCCGCCGCAAAUUUUUUUUCCGUAGACAGUCGGACUCCUCAUUGAUAGUCGGACGCAUCACUGAUCCGCGUCCAGGCCUCUGCGCGUUAUCGAUGGAUCUCUUCAUACCCUGCGUAACCCACUCGUGCACCAUAUAUCCAUCACUCCAUGUUGUUCGUCUACGACCACGUGUAGAAAGAUGAACGAUUUGCUUCGCGAUGCCAUAGACCCAUAGUGAAUCUACAAACUUGUUUUUCUG